GGCUCUGUGGCGCAAUGGACAGCGCGUUGGACUUCUAAUUCAAAGGUUGUGGGUUCGAGUCCCACCAGAGUCG